CAGACUUUCUUGAAAGCUAUGUUUAAUUAUAGGCUUCUUGUAUCAACCGUAAAGCUGUUAAAGACGAUGGCAAAUGAGGCCAAAAUAGUUAGAUGUUAGCCAAAACGAGGAUCUGACUAGCAAGAGACUAAUGAAUUUUGUAGGACAGCUUUGAUAGCUUUCAAAAAAGAAUGUAAUGUCAGCCUCAGAGUCUGAAAUGCUGGAAUGGGUAACUAUGUACCACUGAAAAAAUUCUUAAGGUUUAACAUAGGCUUUCUAGUUAGUUAAACAAGAGUGAGGCUAACAAGUACUAAAUAAGUGUGCCUGUGUUUUGAGUUAACUCUUAAGUCUGUUUUAAUACCACAAACAGAAGUAAUACUAUAAAUCCACACAAAACAACCCCCAAACAACCAAGACACCACAGCAGGGUUGAUGCAUCUCUUAACUCCUCAAUGUCUUGAAUUGUCUAACACCUUAGACAAUUGCUGAGAUUCUUCAAGGUAAAUUAUUUUGAAAGCAACUAGCUAAAAAUGAAUAAUUGCUCUCUAGAAGUUAAGCUAAGAGGGAUGUUUUAGGCAGUUAAGUGCUUCAUAGAGUGUUCUUCUUAGGUUGAGACAUAAGUACUCAGAACCUGCAGUAAGUGACCUUCAUACCAAAGGGCUGCAUGUCAGAUGUCUGACUGCAGUAUGUUAUCACUUGAUUCCCCUUUGGAAGGGUGAUGUUGUCUUUUCAACCUUCUGAUUAAGGCUUAUCUGAAGUGCAGCCAUCAUUUGCACCCAAACUUGAGUAUCUUUCCAGAUCUUGAAAGAACACCCAGACUUGCGUCAGCAUGUGACUCCUGUACACAUUCACUGCAAAACAUCUUCCAGAAAUACUGAAUUGUGUCUCUCUUGCAAGACAAGUUCACCUUGCUUGUGGGCAAAUAGACUGUGUUAUCAGGAAAGAUAGCUGCUCCCUUGUCAAACUGUGGCACAAGUGCUUAGUUUUCAGUUAUUUCAGAUCUUUUACCCAAAUACCAUGAUUUCAACUUUUGUCACACAGCACAGAAGCUCCUGUAGCUUAGAACUGCAAACUUCUGUGGUGGUCUACAGGUUAGAUUUUUAUGAAGGUUUUAUCUCAGAUAUAAGUAAUUGUUUCAGUUCUCUAGUGACCAAAUAUUUGGAGAAAAUAGUCACUUGAAAUGACUUUUUCUGCUGUAUCAGUGCAGUUUUUUAUAUUUAAACUACUUACAUGCUUUCAAAUACUCAGGACUUCUUUUUUUUUCCACUGCAACUGUAGCUUUAUCCUGUUUUGUUUCUCAAGCCUUAGUAUUGUCCAUCAGUAUCCUUCAGCCUGUUUUGUCUUUAAAAACAAAACUGAAGUUGUUUUCAUGCUGAGCUAAGCCUGAAGUUCAUUUAUGUAGUGUUUUUGCUUAGAUAAUUGUAGAGACUUAGACUUGUUCUUUGACACAUUUUGCUAAGUGUGGAGGCUAGCAUGAAAUACAUGAUGCAUAUUAAACCCUCAACUCUACCAAAUGGAGUUCAUAUGUGGAUUUCUACUUCAGUUAAGUUUCAGUGCAAGUAAUGAGCAUCAUGUUGCUUCCUAAGAGGGGGAAAAAAUAACCAAAACAAAACCACUUACAGGACAGUUGUCUAACACUCACUUUUAAAAGUGAUCUGAAGCCAUAACAAGGAAAUUUUCUUUUGGACUAUUUGCUUUUUGCCCGAGUAGACAGAAUCGACACAAAUUAUUCAGUAUGUGUAACCAGAUGUUUUACCCAAAUUAAUACUCAUGCUGUCUGCAUCUGCCUGUAAAGCAUUUUGUAACCCAGUAACUGUCAGAGAGCCACACUAUACCUGGCACCUGUCAUAGGUAGUAAGAGUUGUAUUAAAUUGAAAUUCUGAAUAAAAUUAGUCAGUCCAGGGAAAUACCUGCUCCAGUCCAUUGAUUUUUUUAGAGGAUCUUGUCACUUGCCUACUGUCUAGGUCCAUGAAACAGUUAUUUGUGAGUAUUUUUUCCAGCCUUGAAUGAACAGUGUUAAUUCUGAUCCUUGAUGAUUGCAAAAACCCACUAUGAAGGAACUUUAACUUUUAUCCAGAUUAAAAUCCUAAGUCAUUUUAAAACUGAGUGGUCUUCCUGGAUAUUCUAUUUCAUAUACUAUUUAACCAUGGCAGUGUCUGUACUUGGUUACUGAAGGCAUUCAUGUUAAAUGGAAGAGCCUUACUGGUACAGAGUCAGGUUUAGGUAAAAUGUGAUCCUUUUAAUUAUUUUUUUUAAAUACUCAUCAAAAGUAAAGCUGUGAAUUUUAUCUGGUAAAACAGAUACUGCACAGGGAGAAAUAGAUUUAAUAACUUUACUACAUUAUACAGGAAAAAAAAAAUCAGUAUCAGCACUUUAAGAUGAGUGAGCACAGCUAGUACAUGCUUACCCACCCCAGGCUCAGUAAAUUGGACCGCUUCAUUUUGAGGGAUAAAGCUGUAGCAGGGACACAUAAAUACAAACACUUCCCCAAAGCAGGUACAAUACUUUUCCAAUCAAGUUAAAUUUAAGCCAAAUUCUACAAGUUACAGUAUUUCAUCUCAACAAAACUGCUAUCAUUGUGAUUCAAUUAAAGUGACUUUUAUGUUUCUCUCUGUAUGUGAGCAUACUUUGCUGUAGCAUGUUGUGAGCAUACUUACCUUCUGCUGUUUGGAAUGUUUGUUUAGAAAGUGCCCUUCCAGAGGACCCUGUUCACUGCUGCACUUUUGGGGAAAUAAAAAAAAUAAACUGCCUAUCACACUUCCUA